rnacentral:misc_RNA from 1 species
GAUUGUAAAGCUCAAUUUUAAUAGUCCAAUUCUCAUCUCUUCACAAAAUUUCAUCUUUUAUCAAAUUUAAUAGUUCAACCAAGCAUACAAAACAAUCCAUUAUAAGAAUUUGAUCCGGGUGAUGCAAAACCAGAACAAGAACACAGGCAAAUAACGGGAAAGAGAACUAAUUCCAAAAUAUUAUUAAUCUGAUAAAAUUGUCAUAGCGAAUCUGAAAAUUACGAAUAACUAGGCCUAUUUAUA